AUUGAACGCUGGCGGCAUGCCUUACACAUGCAAGUCGAACGGCAGCGGACCUUCGGGUGCCGGCGAGUGGCGAACGGGUGAGUAAUAUAUCGGAACGUACCUUUCAGUGGGGGAUAACGUAGCGAAAGUUACGCUAAUACCGCAUAUUCUGUGAGCAGGAAAGCAGGGGAUCGCAAGACCUUGCGCUGAUUGAGCGGCCGAUAUCAGAUUAGCUAGUUGGUGAGGUAAAGGCUCACCAAGGCGACGAUCUGUAGCGGGUCUGAGAGGAUGAUCCGCCACACUGGAACUGAGACACGGUCCAGACUCCUACGGGAGGCAGCAGUGGGGGAAUUUUGGACAAUGGGCGCAAGCCUGAUCCAGCCAUGCCGCGUGAGUGAAGAAGGCCUCGG
rnacentral:rRNA from 1 species